rnacentral:rRNA from 1 species
GACGAACGCUGGCGGCGUGCCUAACACAUGCAAGUCGAACGGUAAGGCCCGGCUCUUGUUGUUUGCUCGUGUGGCGAACGGGUGCGUGACACGCGUGUAACAUCUCCUUGACUUUGGGAUAUCUUUAGGAAACUGGGUCUCUUAUCGGGCAUGAGCACCUGCUGCCCGGUGGGGGUUGGUAAGAUGCGGCGGUUGGGGAUGGAAUCGCGGCCUAUCAGCUUGUUGGUGGGGUAGUGGCUUACCCAGGCUCUGACGGGUAGCCGGCCUGAGAGGGUGACCGGCCACAGUGGGACUGGGAUACGGGCCAGACUCCUACGGGAGGCAGCAGUGGGGAAUAUUGCACAAUGGGCGGAAGCCUGAUGCAGCAACGCCGCGUGCGGGAUGACGGCCUUCAGGUUGUAAACCGCUUUCGCCUGUAACGAAGCGUGAGUGACGGUAAUGGGUAAGAAAGCACCGGCUAACUACGUG